rnacentral:lncRNA from 1 species
CACAAUAUUGCCUGCAUUCUGCAGCCACCCAUAUGUCACCACCUACCUGCUUUAUCUCUUUGUCACAUUUUCAUCUCUUUCUACUUCAACUUUCCUUUGAUUCAUCCCCAAAAGCUUUCCCCUAGGCCACUUGGCAGUAUUCCCUCACUAGUCAAAAUCUGGUGGGUCUUUCUUGAGUGAGCUCUCAGAGCUGACCUCCUUUUUUAAGACAUCUAUUUGCAUGCAGGUGGCCAUCGAUGACAUCAAUGGUUUUGCAGUAUUGAGCCACAUUUUGGAUUUUACCUAGAAGAUGUGCAGAAUAUAAAUGUUUUCAUGAGUCCUGAAGACUGGGAAGUCCAAGAUUAAGGUGCCAACUCUCUUUCUGGCUUAUAGAUGGCCACUUUCUUUCUGUGUCCUCGCAUGGCAGACAGAGAGAGAGAGAGAAAGAGAGAGAGAGAGAGAAGAAGAAGAGGAAGAAGAAGAAGAAGAAGAAGAAGAGGAGGAGGAGGAGGAGGAGGAGAAGUUGGAGGAGGAGACAAAUUCAAGGAGAAAGAGAGAGAGAGGGUGCUAGCUCUCUCUGGUAUCUAUUCUUAUGAAGAUAUUAAUCCUAUCAUAUCAGGUCCCCACCCUUGUGACUUUAUCUAACCAUAAUUACCUUAAGUCCUAUCUGCAAAUACAGCCAUAUUGGGGUUUAGGGAUUUGACAUGUGAACGUGGAGUGGGACACAAUUUAGUCCAUACCAAGUAUCUAGCACAGCUUCAGAAACAUAGCAAGUAUUCAAAAUCUGUUCUCUCUUCCCCAAACCAUCAACCUCCUAUCUUAACCCUUUUUCACAUGGUACUAACAAGAUACCAAAUAGAGACUUUGGGUUAAAAUAUAAGUGGUGUCUAUUUUAUAGAUUAUCAGAAGGAAUAAACUCAGUAACUUAUUUGAAUUUUGCAUAAUAUUUCAUUUUAUCUUUUCUUAUUGUUUUGAAACCUGUAUUUUUUACUCAGCCAUAUGUUCUGAAUAAUUAUCCAUUUCACUAAAGGUAAGACUAGAUCACUUUAGCUAGUAUAUAAUAUCAUAAUUCUAUGUGUGACUAUUCUGUAAUUUAUUAUCUAUUGUGUCAUUAUCUUAUCUGCUGAUUGACAUAUUAUCUACUGAUUUUGAUCUUAUCUGCUGAUGGAUAUAUUAUCUACUGAUUUGCUAUUGUAUACAAUGUCUUGAUGAACAGAUGCCUACAAACACAAUUGCACUUGUGUGUGAGUUCAUGUGUGUGUGUGUGUGUGUAUUUGUGUAUGCGUGUGUGUAUUUGUGUAUGCUCAUCUUCAGGUUUCAUGCAAAUUGCUACAUGGCUAUUCAGAAUAUUCACUGUGCUUUAUUUUUUGACUAUUCUCAGUUUACUUUGUUUCACAUUCUGUGACAUUCCAUCAGUCUAGCACCUGCAACCAUUGUCUCCUCCAGGUAUUUCUCACAUUUUGUCCUCUUUCCCAGCCUAUACUUCGGCAGAUAACCUCAACACUUACCUUGCUGAGAAGAAACCCUGCCAUGUUCUGCAAAGCCACUUACUCAACUUGCCAACUUUUAAAAUUAAACACCCUGAAUUGGGAGAAUCAUG